GUUGUUUAUACGUAUGUGAAUAGUUUGUAGUAUUUGUAUGAAAUUGCUUUCCAAAGUGGCGAAUGUGUGUCUAUUUUUGACGAAUGAUCCUUAUCAGGAUUUAGCAGUGUAGUUGACCUAAAUUGGUUAAAAGAUGCUAGGUCCCACUUUAUUCCAUUUGAACAAUUUGUAAGUUGGCCACAAGAUGAGCCUGUGCAUCCAACUAAGUGGAAAUUGUUAAAAAUGCCAGUCCUUUUUGAUUCUAGUUGAAAGAUUUAUCUUGUAAAAGUGAGUGGCAUCUUAACUGGUUGUUCAAAAGGAGUUUACCUCUGGCAAGCUAGAAGUGGUAAAGAUGCAGAAGUCUACCCAGUUGUAGUCUAAAAUGUUGCCAUCUCUGGCUAAUUCCUAGGACAUGCAGGACUGUCUACCUCUUUGAGAAUGCUUCCACCAGAAGGGCUUUUCUCUGAUGGUUAAACCUUCCUUGGAUGUCUGAGUGAGAACCAUCUAUGCACAGUGCAAACGUUUGUAUCCUGAUUACUCAACUUUAUAUACCCCCGAAGAUGCUGUAAACUCACUUUAUUCUAGUGCAGUCAGAUUCACCUUUACGUUGAACCAAAAAGCGAGUGGUCUGCAGUUGAAUCUAUUCUUUAAAGAAAGCCGAAGUGAUAUUGCUUUACCAUCAUGACCUGCUGCAGUGUAGUCAGUAAAUUUUUAAAUUGGCUACUCUAUUCAACAAUGUCUGCCGCAUGAAUUUAAAUGCAGAUCUGGCACAGUUUUGACUGCAUUUGCUAACAAAUACCUUGUUAAAGCUGAUCUGAAAUAAGUGGCAUUCCUUUGCGAAGUGUGCAAAUAUUAAAUAAAAAUAAAAUGGAAAUUAGGUUCACAAUA